GAUGAACGCUGGCGGCGUGCCUAAUACAUGCAAGUAGAGCGCAGGGAGGAGAAGUUUGCUUUCCGGAUGAUAGGCGCGGGGGGGAGUGUCACAUGUGUAAACUCUCCGUAUACGACUGGGAACUCUUCGAGACACUGGCGCAAAUACCAGGACAACUGUUAAAGCAUGUUGUUUAUUAGAAAAAGACGGUUUUUCCGCUACUAAUUGAUCGUUCCUCGCGUUAUUAACUAGUUGGUAAGGCAACGGACUACCAAGGCAACGAUGCAUCGCCCACCUGAGAGGGUGAGCGGCCACACUGGAACUGGGACACGGUCCAGACCCCUACGGGAGGCAGCAGUAGGGAAUCUUCCGCAAUGGGCGAAAGCCUGACGGAGCAACGCCGCGUGAGUGAUGAAGGUCUUCGGAUCGUAAAACUUUGUUAUUAGGGAAGAACAUAUGUGUAAGUAACUGUGCACAUCUUGACGGUACCUAAUCAGAAAGCCACGGCUAACUACGUG
rnacentral:rRNA from 1 species